rnacentral:rRNA from 1 species
UACAGAGGUUGCAAACGUUGUUCGGAAUUACUGGGCAUAAAGCGCACGUAGGCGGUCCGUUAAGUCAUGUGUGAAAUCCCCCGGCUCAACCGGGGAAUUGCGCCUGAUACUGGCGGGCUAGAGGUCGAUAGGGGUGAGCGGAACUCCAGGUGGAGCGGUGAAAUGCGUAGAUAUCUGGAGGAACACCGGUGGCGAAAGCGGCUCCCUGGAUCGAAACUGACGCUGAGGUGCGAAAGCGUGGGGAGCAAACAGG